CCUCUCUUUGUCACCUGUGUACCAGCCUCUGGAACCCUCCAAUUCUCAGGUUGUUCAGCUGUAAUACACAGAAAAAAGCCUAUCUGAACUCAGUGUGAUUAGACAUGGGGUAAUGCAGUGAUUUUUCUAGUCACCCUAGGAGAAUAGUUGUAUUUUCCCCAAGUAAACAAAGUCUCUAUUUUGAAAUUUUAUUGCAAAUAUAUAUAUAUUUUUUUAAAAAAGACAAACAAAAAAAAACCCAAGAAAACCCACCCCUUGGCACCAGUUACAGUAUGCCUGAUGGCUACUAGUAAUGGAAUUGUGAUAGCUAAUGUUCCCUGAGAGCUAAGUGCCAGCCGGCAUGCUUUCCAGGAAUUGUCUUACUUGAUCCUCAAAACAGCCCCUGAAGGAAAGUCCAUUUAUUGUCUUCAUGUAAUAAAUGCAGCACCAGGCACAGCAAGGUGAUACGACUUGCCCGAGGUCACACAGCUAGUACGUGGCCAGCCAGCCAUUGAGCCCAGGACGUCUGACUCCAGAGCCACCACACUCUUUGUUUCUACCCAGCAUUGUCCGCCAGUGACUAGAAGACAGAAUAGAAGAACCCGUAGCCAAGGAAUGAUCACAGGAAACUUGCUUUCCAUGGACACCCACUGUCAUGAUCUUAGAGGAGACAUCUAAAAUAGCUUCCUUUGGUGUGUUUUUCCUUGUUCAUACAGUGGGCUUAAAUAGACAGUUGUUACAAUAUCUUGUACACUGUGUCCCAUGUGUAUAUGGUAGGGACUCCAUAAAUGUUAUUUAUUAAGGUUUAUUGCAGGGCUUCUGAAAACACACCUUUAGAAAGCAAAGCACCCAGUCUGUGAAAAUUACCAUCAUUCAUUCCGUGAAGUUGUCUGCUCUAUGAUGUGGACGUGCCCUCUCAUCAUGUAUGAUUGUCUCUUAGAAUAGCUCCUUUCAUUAGAGCUGAGCUCUGAGCGGUUUUACUUCCAUUAGGCUGGAAUCCUUCUCUUUACGUGAACAUGACACACCUCUGCCCGAACAGACGCAACCCAGUCAUUCCAUGAUGUGUAUCUUUCUUUGUCAUCCCGCGUUUAACCAGGAGGAUUAGAAGACAUUGAUGUAGUAUUUUCUUUGCAAGUAAGAUCCUAAUACUGGCGUGGACUGGGGAGUGACUGGGUGGGAGUGGGUAGUCUCUGAUCAGACUUCAGAGCCUCUGGCUUAUUUGGAAAGUUGAGAUGUUGCUUACAUGUUUGGGGUAGGGGCUGGAAUCCUUAGGAGGAAAUAUCUGCAGACUUGGAAAAGUCCCUGAGGAAUAUUUAAUUCCCGAUAAAAGUUUGGAUUCCUGAGAGCUGGAAGAAAACUUUGCAGCCACAACCUGCUACUGACUUAACUGCUUCUCCCCAUCCUGCGGGCCUUUUCGCUCCUCUGGAGAGGCUUGAAGGAGCGGGGUGGGCUAGGAUCCCAGGUUCGUGAGAGUAGCUGCAGCAGAGGUGCUACAAUUGCCAGGUACACCUCUGGGCCUUUAACUGGUUGGUAAACAGAAAGCAGGAUGUGCUUAUCUGACGACUGACACCAAUUGUAAACACUCCUUCACAAAGUUCAGCAUCCUGGUUUUAGGUGGGCCAGCAUGGGCCUGACUAGGUGGUUCCUUGGGAAUGCUUGCUCUGGGCACGGGUGGGGAAAAGUGGGGGAGGUAAUGUUUGCCAAGACUUGAAGAGUGGUUAAGCAGAGGCUAUCAGUGCAACAGCCCAGGCAGGAAGCUCAGGCAGGAGUCUUUCCCCUGCUCCCUUCUUGUGGUGCAGAUGGGUAAACUGAGGCCCAAUGAACAGAACUAUAUAUACUGUUCUGCCAGUACUAGCCAAAGCUAACGUGUAUCAUUAUCAGUAACAGGCCAGGCACUUGGUGAAUUGCUUUCUGUGUGUUAUGCAAUGUCUGUGACAAUUCUGUGCAGUAGGUACUGGUAUCCUACCUGUUUCUCAGAGGAGGCAGCAGAGUCUCAGAAUUAAAUUACUUCCUCAAGGCUGAAGAGCUAGGAAGUUCGAGAGCUGGGGUUCUGGAGCAGUCUCUCUGUCAGAGUCCCUGCUGUUCACCACAUGCAUGGGACUGCCUCAACCAAGUGGCCCCAGGGAUUUCUCAGCCUGACUCUUGUGGAACCCAGUCAUCUGCUGUGAAAGAGGUCCUGUGUGUAUGUGUCUUUGUUGUCUUGCUGUGUAACAAAAUACUGUGAACUUAGCAGCUUAAAACGGCAUAGAUUUAUUAUCUCGCAGUUGCCAUGGAGUCCAGACCUGGCUUAACUGGGUCCUCUGCUCAGCAGCUGACAAGUGUGUAAUGAAGGUGUCAGCAGGUCCUAAUGUCCUGUAAGGCUAGGGGUCUGCUGGUAGGAUCUGUCAUUUUCCAGAAUUCACAGAGAAUUCACUUCAUUGAAGAACUGAGCCCUGAGCUUCUAAAGAUCACCCACUAUUCCCUGCCGUGUGGCCUCCACACAGUAUGGCAGCUUGCUUCUUCCAGGCCAGCAGAAGAGUCUCUUUGUCCUCAGGUAGAGCCUCAGCCUUUCUUUUAAAGGUUCACCUGAUCAGGCCAGGCCCACCAAGGAAACUCUCUUCAUUAAUAUCAGUUAACGGAUGAGGGACUUUUAUUAUAUCCGCAAACCCCUUUUGCCAUGCAGCCUAAUCAAGGGAGUGAUAAUCCAUUGUAUCCACAGGUUCUGCCCAUGCUCAUGGGGAAACCAUAGUUAACAAGGGUCAUCUUAGUAUUCUGACUGCAGAUACUGUUCCUAAUGCUUGUUCUUCAGCUUCCGGUGGGGAGGGAAGGGAAAAGGAGGCAGAAGUGACUGAACUCUGGGAUUGCCGAGGUACAAGGCGUGUGGGCAGAACAGGCGACAGCAGAGAAGCUGUAUUUAGGAGCACGUGUGCUCGGCAGCUCUGCAACCAGAACACGCCUCUGCCAGGUCCUCGGUUUUGGAUUGUAAAAAGGUUAUUUAGUCUCUCCAUGCCUUCAUUUCCUCAUCUGUAAAACUGCAGGUCAUGGUAAUUCCUAACGUUUUGUGACGAUACGUGAAAUAAUCGGCUUUCAGCAGAGCUUGGCAUGUGAUGAGGCCUUGUCAAAGGUUUUAGUCCAUGUGGGGGCUCCCAUUUGCAGGUUGCAGGGGAGCAGGUAGAGAAGUUCAGAAGGUACUUGUCUCUGUGGGGUUGCUGGAAGCGUGUGCCUUGGAGGAGGCGUUUGCAUGUUCACACUGUAGUGUGGCAGCAUGGCCUGGAGCUGUGGACAGAGCGUGGUUCUUGGGAAGCAUCCUGCUCACCUGUGCAGAGAGAGUCAGGGAUACAGUAGAAAGGGAAAGAUCCCAGGCAGUUUUUGGACUGAUUUUGCCAAUCAUUCUCUUCUUGGGCCAUCACCUACGUCUUUGGACCUCAGGUUUCUUGUCCAUAUUUUUUACAUAGGUACUUGGGAAAAAGUAGGUCCUUGGAUUGGCUGGCAAUUUAAGGUGCCCGCUGGGUUUAAAUAUCAUAGUUCAGAUUUCCUAUUAAGGCUCAGUGGAAACAAACUUGACCGGUAUCCAUGAGCGUGCAGGUUUGACCCCUGACCUCGCUCAGUGGGUUAAAGAUCUGCCGUUGCUGUGAGCUGUGGUGUAGGUCACAGAUGCAGCUUGGAUCUGGCAUGGCUGUGGCUUGAUUCAGCCCCUAGCCUGCAGCCCUAUAAAUAAGUAAAUAAAUAAAUAUCAUAAUUCUAGUGGCCAGUUUUCUGUCCAAGGUGUAACCCAAAAGUAAGUCUAUUUCAUUAGCUCUGCCCCCAAAAUACUCACACAUCCCCUAUUGGAAACCCACUAACGGAAAUGUAUUUUGCCAAACUGCUGGGCUUUUACACUUGUGUCUUUCUAUCCAGGACAGUGGUGCCUCUUUCCAUCGCCCUUAAAAUUUUCCUUUGUGUCUUCUUAGUGGUUACUUUUACAGCCCCCUUCAUGCGAAAGCAGGAGGGGACAGACUUAGCGGCCUUGGGUCUUUGGGUGGGUGGGCAGAGAUGAGCACAAUUCAGAAACUCUUCGGCCUGUUCCCCAUCCUCACAGUCUGCCCUCCACCCAGCCUUGUUCCCAGCUUGAAUUAAGCAACCUUCCUACCAUAUUCCACAUCCUGAUAUGCAUACUAGUAGCUGCCAGUUUAAUUUCUUUUGGUGAGAGGUGGUGCCUUGUCGAAAGAAAAUCAAUAAAGUAUAGCACUAAUAACAUCUACUCAUGGCAUGUGCCUUGCAAGGGCUUAGAUGUAGUCAUUAAUCUCCCAACAAAUGUGUGCCCUCAUUGGUAGUAUUCCCAUUUGUCAGUUAAGGAGACUGAGGCUCCAGUAAAUUAAAGAACUUGCCUAAUGAUGCACAGCAACAACUGACUGAGCAGAGAUUUGAACCCCCAUGUGCCUGCCACAGUCUGUGCUCUUAGCUGGCAAGGUAAACAGCUGGAACAUUGUCAGUGAUUUUAAGCUCUGGAACCCACACUUGACCCCCAUCACAUCAUCACACUCUUCUCUCUUCAGUAUCCCAGUUGAAUCUGGGGUAAUUCCUCAAAGCUGAGGUUUAAAAGGUGGAAGCUUCAGAGGACUAAUAUCCUGGGAAACUCCAAAAGAGAAAAAAGGAUCUCUAUUGGUAUCAGCAAACACCACCAUGCCAAGUUUUCAAUGUUGAGCUAGAGGAAAACUCUAUUACGAAUGAUAGCUCUAAUCUGCUUGCGGUAAAGACUCAUAACUGGAAAAUAAGCAUGUGACAGUUCUUCGUUUGAGUGUAAACUUAACUUAUUAAUUUAAAUUAUGGUGCUUUUUGAACAAAAAGGGGAAGCCAUAAUAAUAAUAAUAAUAAGUAAUGGUCCUUGUAAAAAAAAAUGUAAAAAGACGUUAGAAAUUUUGUGCUUUGGGAAGCUGGAGAAUGUACUUCUAGUUAAGGAUUAAUUUUCACUCACAGAGAUCAAAAAGGUCUCGAUGAGCAAGAUAAGUAUCAAGUUUCAGGGUGGCUGUAUUUUUUUUUCUCCUUCUGCCAGACUGUCUGAAACUUAUCUCAAGUAUCAUGGUAAAAAGAGAAGUGGCGGAUAGACACAAAAAUGUAAUAGAUAUAUUUGGGGAAGAGAAUAUGAACUGCUUUUCUAAAUGCAUAUCAGAAGGGGAAUUUAUUCCAGUUGAGUAGGUUUAAUGACAUAAUAUUACCAUAUUAAAUCAUAAUUGCUCUUUAAAAGAAAAUAGAGAUGCGUGCAUUGCCACCGCCUGGCUGUCCUGCUCCAUCCCAAAAGCAUCCUCCCCAGGACUUCUUGAUGUCCCCUUAUCUCACACCAGUGCCCUUCUGUGGCUUUCCUUUGGAAAUUUGGGUGGGGAGGCAGAAGGGAAGGAAGAAUAGUCUGAGAAUUUAAAAAAAAGUCUGAAUCAAACACUUGCCCUGGUUUUGGCAAAAACCAUUUCCUGCUAUUACGCUGCCAAGCUGAAGCUUAUGAAUAAAUGGCACUUCUGACUCUCUGGAACCAAAUUAUUUCUUAAAAUUAGAUCAGGUAUGGAGGUAAUUGAGAUACCUGAAUUAGUUAGGGACUAAAUGAUUUCUAGGGUUAGGGAUGUUGAUAAUCAUUUGAGUAAAGACUAAUGAUUGCUUUUGUAGUUAAAUGAUUUCCAAUCUCAUUGUAUUCCCUUCUCUCCAUCAAAAAAAAAAGGGGGGGAGGAAAUGUUCGGACAAAAACAGAACUAAUACUUUCAGUUUUAACAGAAUCUGAUUUUAUAACGUGAACUGAAUUCAGUGGAGGCAUAGCUCGUCUCUGAGUUUAUCACCCGUACUGAGAGUAUGAACUUCCUUGUCUCUUUUUCAAAAGAGCACUCCAAGUAAUGCUUAGCUUAUCUGACUGAUAAAAGGCACAAUCUAGUUUUUUAAAACAUGUUUAUUGUCGUUUAAAAUAUAAUACUUGAUACAUAAAAAAUGUACUGUAUUUCAUUGAAUCUUUUAUAAGACCUUUAUUUUAUGUACUAGUAAUAAUAUAAAAAUGGAGCCAAGGAGUUCCUAUCGUGGCUCAGCAGUAACAAACCAGAUUAGUAUCCAUGAGGAUGUGGGUGCAAUUCCUGGCCUCUCUCAGUGGGUUAAGAAUCCCGCAUUGCUGGGAACUGAGUUGUAGGUCACAGAUGCAGCUCGGAUUCCAUGUGGCUAUGGCUGUGGUGUAGGACGGCAGGUACAGCUCCGAAUGGACCCCUAACCUGGAAACUUCCAUAAGCUAAGGGUGUGGCCCUAAAAACCAAAAAAAGAAAAAAAAA
rnacentral:lncRNA from 1 species